rnacentral:rRNA from 1 species
CCUACGGGAGGCAGCAGUGAGGAAUAUUGGUCAAUGGACGAGAGUCUGAACCAGCCAAGUAGCGUGAAGGAUGACUGCCCUAUGGGUUGUAAACUUCUUUUAUAUGGGAAUAAAACGUUCCACGUGUGGGAUUUUGUAUGUACCAUAUGAAUAAGGCUCGGCUAACUCCGUGCCAGCAGCCGCGGUAAUACGGAGGAUCCGAGCGUUAUCCGGAUUUAUUGGGUUUAAAGGGAGCGUAGGUGGAUUGUUAAGUCAGUUGUGAAAGUUUGCGGCUCAACCGUAAAAUUGCAGUUGAAACUGGCAGUCUUGAGUACAGUAGAGGUAGGCGGAAUGCGUGGUGUAGCGGUGAAAUGCUUAGAUAUCACGAAGAACUCCGAUUGCGAAGGCAGUUCACUGGACUGCAACUGACACUGAGGCUCGAAAGUGUGGGUAUCAAACAGGAUUAGAUACCCCUGUAGUC